rnacentral:rRNA from 1 species
AGAGGAAAUGUCAUGUACUUAGUGAUAGUGGGUUAAUUAAUAAAGAAAGAAGUUAUGAUUUUGAUAUUUGGUUAUUUUUAUGAAAAUAAAUGUUUAUUGAAAUUAGUGGAUUUGGAAUUAUACUCCACCAUAGACAGUAUAAUUAAUAUUAGUUAAGUUGUUGUUUUAUUAACUUUAUGAACCAGGAAAGCAUGAUUUUAUAAAGUAAUUUAAUUCCUAUCUUUGGCUGGACCGAAUGCGGCCAGACUUGAGUCUAGUACAUUCUUUAAUUUCCAGCUUGUCUGGAUUUUUAAGUUCGAGGACGUGGGUUUAAAAUUAGAAUUAGGUUGUAGCUCCAGCGUUAGGAAAAACAGCUAUUCUUGAGAGAUUUUUCUAAUGCGACAAUAGGGAUUCCAUUGAAUCAGAAUAUUAGUCAUAUUGACCUAGUUUUAUAAAAAGGGUUUUUAGUUACAGACGUUAUUUUUCUCAAAUAGAAUAGAAGGACAGUGGGGUUGUUUUAAAAUGAUAUAAAAUUAUGAGUUAAAAAAGUAGGGAUUUAAUUAUAUUUUAUAUCAUUUUAUUUCUAGAUAUCCCAAAGAGCAGGAAAUUAAAGUUGAUUCGGAAAAGUGAAUCUUCAAUUUAAGAUAAAUGUAAAUGUUACUCUGUCAGUUACGGAGCAGGCUGGUAAGUAAGAUCGGAGGUUAAUUUUCUGAUUACUAAUACGAUGGAAACGUGCCAGUUUUAUGGCGCCGGGAAAUUUAAGAGUCACCCGUCCAGUCUGGAAUAUAAUUAUAGUUUUCCUGUACAAAAACAAUUUGUCCGCUCGUAUUUAAACGGAUUAAGGAAUAACAUUGGAAAUAGUUAAAAAUAUAAUUAGUUGUUUGUUAAGAUAUGAUUAAAUUAGUAAUUAUAAUUUAUAAAAAUUAAUGUUUUUAGUGGAAUUAUUUUUUAAAUUUAAAGAUAUUUAUUGUAUGAUGUAUUUAGUUCAAUAUUGUGAAAAAUUUAAUAUCGAUGAAGAUUCGGGUUUAUUAAAUGAUAUUUUUUAUUAAAAUUAAAUAUUGGACCUCGAAUAGGGGGUUUAGUAAUAACGUGAUUGUAUUAAUUUUAGUUCUUAAUAAGGUUAUUGAAUUUAUGUUGACUUAAUUUAAGUAAAGAAUUCCUUGAUCUAUAGAAUUUCUUGCAUAUUGUAAAAUAACGGUUAAGUUGAAAUUAUUAUUAAUAAGAUGUAAUUGAUAGUUUAAAUUUAAUUGAGGGAAGUUUAGCUCUUUUAUAUUAUUAGGAAUGUUUUAAAAACUAAUUGGGACUAUGUUUUCCAUGUUAUUUGGUUUAGAUGAAAUAAUUUUUAUUUAAAAGAACACAACGUUUA